rnacentral:tRNA from 1 species
CGCGGGGUGGCGCAGAUGGUAGCGCGUCGGAUUCAUAAUCCGAGGGUCGCAGGUUCGAGUCCUGCCCCCGCAAC